rnacentral:rRNA from 2 species
CUGCGGCCUAUCAGUUUGUUGGUGAGGUAAUGGCCCACCAAGACUAUUACAGGUACGGGCUCUGAGAGGAGUAGCCCGGAGAUGGGUACUGAGACACGGACCCAGGCCCUAUGGGGCGCAGCAGGCGAGAAAACUUUGCAAUGUGCGAAAGCACGACAAGGUUAAUCCGAGUGGUUUCUGCUAAAGAAACCUUUUGUCAGUCCUAGAAACACUGAUGAAUAAGGGGUGGGCAAGUUCUGGUGUCAGCCGCCGCGGUAAAACCAGCACCUCAAGUGGUCAGGAGGAUUAUUGGGCCUAAAGCAUCCGUAGCCGGCUCUGUUAGUUUUCGGUUAAAUCCAUGUGCUCAACGCAUGGGCUGUCGGAAAUACUGCAGAGCUAGGGAGUGGGAGAGGUAGACGGUACUCGGUAGGAAGGGGUAAAAUCCUUUGAUCUAUCGAUGACCACCUGUGGCGAAGGCGGUCUACCAGAACACGU